rnacentral:rRNA from 1 species
CAGCCGCCGCGGUAAUACGUAGGUGGCAAGCGUUGUCCGGAUUUAUUGGGCGUAAAGCGAGCGCAGGCGGUUUCUUAAGUCUGAUGUGAAAGCCCCCGGCUCAACCGGGGAGGGUCAUUGGAAACUGGGAGACUUGAGUGCAGAAGAGGAGAGUGGAAUUCCAUGUGUAGCGGUGAAAUGCGUAGAUAUAUGGAGGAACACCAGUGGCGAAGGCGGCUCUCUGGUCUGUAACUGACGCUGAGGCUCGAAAGCGUGGGGAGCGAACAGGAUUAGAUACCCCUGUAGUCCCUGUCUCUUAUAC